CAGAGGGGGCAAGCGUUGUUCGGAAUUACUGGGCGUAAAGGGCGCGUAGGCGGCCUUCUAAGUCGAACGUGAAAUCCCUGGGCUCAACCCAGGAACUGCGUCCGAUACUGGAAGGCUCGAAUCCGGGAGAGGGAUGCGGAAUUCCAGGUGUAGCGGUGAAAUGCGUAGAUAUCUGGAGGAACACCGGUGGCGAAGGCGGCAUCCUGGACCGGUAUUGACGCUGAGGCGCGAAAGCCAGGGGAGCAAACGGGGAUU
rnacentral:rRNA from 1 species